rnacentral:snoRNA from 1 species
AAGACUAUGCUUUCAGGGAUCAUUUCUAUAGUUUAUCACUAGAGAAAUUUCUCUAAUCCUGUACAGCACCAGAAACCAUGAGAAGGUUUCUGAGUGAACUCAGCAUGAAGCUGGCUCUUGGUAUUGCUUCGCUGCCACAGCCAUUUGGUAUUGCUUCACUGCCACAGCCAUUUGCCACUGAUGAUGGUUCUUCUUUUCCUCUGGAAGAGCAAGAGGGAGAGAAUGUAGUCUGAGUGGU